UAUAUGUGGUUGUUUGCAUCCUGGCUCCUCUGUGUAUUUUGACCCUGUGCUCCUGUGGAUACGCUUGCAUGGUUAAUACCGCUGUGUUUCUCCCACUUUGCCUCAGAUUGCCAUGCUAACCUUGUAGGUUCGUGUUACUUCCCUGCCUGCCUGCGGAUCUGCCUGCCAGCUGCCUGCUCUCCUGUGUUUCCUCGCUGAGUACUUGCUGUAUAAUGAGUCAUCUGGCUAAGAAAACAGAUACUUCUCGACGCGUCACCUUGCGCAAUUGAUGACCCUCUGAUGAAACUGUACUCUUUCUAUCAUCGUUCUCCCCCAAAAAUGGAGAGAGCUGAAUGCCAUCGGAGAGGAACUUGAGGAACACGUUGUGAAAGCAGCUCACUCCCAGGGGCCAAGGUGGAUAGACCACAGGAGGAGGGCUGUUUCCUGUCUUGCCAUGACAAACUAUAGGAGCAUUGUCGCUCACCUCCAGGAAAGCCAGGAUGAGGCCACACCGGAGAAUGAGAAGAUCAGGGCAAUGUGACAGAAGUUAACCUCGCCAAAGUUUGUUUUCAAUAUGGCACUGUAUCAGGAUCUUUUAUCU